GAUGAACGCUAGCGGCAGGCUUAACAUAUGCAAGUCGAGGGGCAGCACAGGUAGCAAUACUGGGUGGCGACCGGCAAACGGGUGCGGAACACGUACACAAUCUGCCUUCAUCUGGGGAAUAGCCCGAAGAAAUUCGGAUUAAUACCCCAUAACAUAUUUGGAUGGCAUCAUUUGAAUAUUAAAACUCCGGUGGAUAAAGAUGAGUGUGCGUCCCAUUAGCUAGUUGGCAGGGUAACGGCCUACCAAGGCGACGAUGGGUAGCUGGUGUGAGAGCACGACCAGCCACACGGGAACUGAGACACGGGCCCGACUCCUACGGGAGGCAGCAGUGAGGAAUAUUGGUCAAUGGACGCAAGUCUGAACCAGCCAUGCCGCGUGAAGGACGAAGGCCUUCUGGGUUGUAAACUUCUUUUAUUGGGGAAGAAAAUUACGGUUUCUACUGUGACCGACGGUACCCAAGGAAUCAGCACCGGCUAACUCCGUGCCAGCCGCCGCCGUAAUAC
rnacentral:rRNA from 1 species